UACCCAUAUGCUUCGUUCAAGGGCUCCUUCAUGCAUGUCUCAAAGCAAAUGGUUAAAAACAGUGGGUCUGUGAAUGGCUCCUUACAUCACCAGUCACCUGGGUGGUAAUUCCAACACAGUGGGACAUCCUCCAAAACCUGGUGGCUAAUACCCAAAUCAACUGGCCCACACAAAAGGAAGGGUGUACAAUUGUGCACUCUGUGUGUGGAGCUUGCUACCACCUUAAAUACAAACUGGCACCCACAACCUGACCCUAUCAAAUUUGUACAGGGUAAAUUGUUGUUGACCCAGGCUGGUGACACUAACACCUUUGGCACUCUUAAAUGGUGUUCAAUUAUUUUAUUUGCUUGACCACCCGGGCUUCUGACCUAUCACCUAAACUGUGGUGCAAUGGACCACAUUGGCACUUACGGGUAACGGGGAAUCAGGGUUCAACUCCGGAGAGGGAGCCUGAAAAAGGGCUACC
rnacentral:rRNA from 1 species